GCGGAAGUAGCUCAGUUGGUAGAGCGCAACCUUGCCAAGGUUGAGGUCGCGGGUUCGAAUCCCGUCUUCCGCUCCA
rnacentral:tRNA from 3 species